UACGUAGGGUGCAAGCGUUAAUCGGAAUUACUGGGCGUAAAGCGUGCGUAGACGGUUACAUAAGUCGGGUGUGAAAGCCCCGGGCUCAACCUGGGAAUUGCAUUCGAGACUGCGUAGCUAGGGUGCGGAAGAGGGAAGCGGAAUUUCCGGUGUAGCGGUGAAAUGCGUAGAUAUGCGGAGGAACACCGAUGGCGAAGGCAAUCCCCUGGGCCUGCACUGACGCUCAUGCACGAAAGCGUGGGGAGCAAACAGG
rnacentral:rRNA from 1 species